GACGAACGCUGGCGGCGUGCUUAACACAUGCAAGUCGAGCGGUAAGGCCUUUCGGGGUACACGAGCGGCGAACGGGUGAGUAACACGUGGGUGAUCUGCCCUGCACUUCGGGAUAAGCCUGGGAAACUGGGUCUAAUACCGGAUAUGACCUCCUAUCGCAUGGUUGGUGGUGGAAAGAUUUAUCGGUGCAGGAUGGUCCCGCGGCCUAUCAGCUUGUUGGGGGGGUAAGGGCCUACCAAGGCGAUGACGGGUAGCAGACCUGAGAGGGGAACCGGCCACACUGGGACUGAAAUGCGACACAGACUAGUAAGGGAGGCAGGAGAGCAGAAGAUAACAUAAUGGGCGAAAGGCAGACGCAGUGAAGCAGCGUGAGGGAUGACGGGAAUGGGGUUGGAAUGUUCUUUCAGCAUAGACGGGAUGAAAGUGACAGUACCUGCAGAAGAAGCACCGGCUAACUACGUG
rnacentral:rRNA from 1 species